rnacentral:lncRNA from 1 species
UCCUAGAUAUUGCGAUUUAUUAAUAAAUUUGCAGAUUAAAGGAGGCAAGUGUGCAGGAGAUCUCCAACGAAGUACAAUUAUAGCCGUUCGCCAGGAUUCUACGCAGAGAGAGAAGUGUCGUCAGGUCGUGGAUCAUUGAAGGUGUCCGUCAAGAGCAUGGAGAAGGAAGUGUCGUCUGUCGUGGAUCUAAUAAGGGUCGGAAGGAAUUGUCCGUUGUAGAAUCGUCUAUGUAACAGUUCUCAUAAUUUGCAAUAAAUAAUAAAUCUAGACGUCAAAAAAAAAAAC